UACGUAGGGGGCAAGCGUUACCCGGAUUCACUGGGAGUAAAGCGGGUGUAGGCGGCUCGGUAAGUCGGGUGUGAAAUCCCACGGCUCAACCUUGGAAUUGCACCCGAAACUGCUGAGCUUGGGGCCGGUAGAGGGAGACGGAACUGCCGGUGUAGGGGUGAAAUCCGUAGAUAUCGGCAGGAACGCCGGUGGGGAAGCCGGUCUCCUGGGGCGCGCCCGACGAUGAGGCCCGAAAGCUAGGGGAGCAAACCGG
rnacentral:rRNA from 1 species